GUGUUGUCAGUUUCUUUUUUUACUUAACAAUUGAAUGUUUCUUUUGGUAUCAUAUGGUGCCUCUGUAUUCUCUCCAUAUUUUUCAAAAUAAUUUAUAUGAUUAAAAAUAAAGAUUUCACUUUAAUCGAAAUAUUCCAGAAAAUUAAAGUUUUUUAAAACCUUAAAUAAUAGAAUCAACCCCUCUUUUCUCCAACAUGGAGUUCUUUCCUUUAAUCAAGGGGUUAUACAGAGAUUCCUACUUCCCUACCCCUUCUCCACCUUCCCUCCUAUACUCCCAAUCCCCUUCCCACUAUUACCACUUUCCUUUUACCCUACUCCCAGAUGAAAAUUGGUCAUAAUAUUUCCCUAGAAUAUCUAUAUGUUUACUCCCCUUCCCCCUUAGUUGUCAGCCCAUCCACUGACUCCCACUUCCCAAUGAUUUUCCCCUAGAAUAUCCAUAUUUGUACUCCCCCUUUCCCCUCGGUUCCCACCCCAUCCCCUGACUCCCACUUCCCACUUUAAUUUUUCCCUAGAAUAUCCAUAUUUUUGCUCCCCCUUUUUCCUUGGUUCCCACCCCAGCCCCUGACUCCCACUUGCUACUCUUUCAUUCCCCCCUAGAAUAUUCAUAUUUGAUGACCUUCAAUAGGAGUGGAGUGCACAUAACAAGUACACGUUAUGAACCCCAACCUCAGUGUUGACAGGCUAGUUAUACAGUUUUUUGACUACUUAGACCAAAUUAUACAGCUGAGGCCCCUUACUUUGUGAGAAAAUACGAAUGCAUAAGCUAGAUUCACAUCCUCUGAAAAUAAUCUCUAUGCAAGUGUUCAAUGUAUCUAAACCUUAUGUUCAGGCAUGUGUAAACUGAAUUAUCACGAUUUAUAUUCGCGUUAUUUUUCUACUCGUGAAAGUCACGAAAAUAAAUUGCUUGCAAAAAUAAGUUGGUUUACAGUAAUUAUUAUUUUAGCUCUUAUUUUAAUUUAAAUGUAUAUAGAC
rnacentral:lncRNA from 1 species